AUACUCACAAAGGAGUGCUUUGGCUGAGAUCGCAGAUUUGCGAAAUCCUAAGGACCUGAUCUCGUUAAUACGAGCGUAGGGAUUGUGAAAAGUCAUUUU
rnacentral:ncRNA from 2 species